CGAACGAAGCGCUUAAAUGGAUUUCUUCGGAUUGAAGUUUUUGUGACUGAGUGGCGGACGGGUGAGUAACGCGUGGGUAACCUGCCUCAUACAGGGGGAUAACAGUUAGAAAUGACUGCUAAUACCGCAUAAGCGCACAGUGCUGCAUGGCACAGUGUGAAAAACUCCGGUGGUAUGAGAUGGACCCGCGUCUGAUUAGCUAGUUGGUGGGGUAAUGGCCUACCAAGGCGACGAUCAGUAGCCGGCCUGAGAGGGUGAACGGCCACAUUGGGACUGAGACACGGCCCAAACUCCUACGGGAGGCAGCAGUGGGGAAUAUUGCACAAUGGGGGAAACCCUGAUGCAGCGACGCCGCGUGAGCGAAGAAGUAUUUCGGUAUGUAAAGCUCUAUCAGCAGGGAAGAAAAUGACGGUACCUGACUAAGAAGCACCGGCUAAAUACGUGCCAGCAGCCGCGGUAAUACGUAUGGUGCAAGCGUUAUCCGGAUUUACUGGGUGUAAAGGGAGCGUAGACGGUUGUGUAAGUCUGAUGUGAAAGCCCGGGGCUCAACCCCGGGGCUGCAUUGGAAACUAUGUAACUAGAGUGUCGGAGAGGUAAGCGGAAUUCCUAGUGUAGCGGUGAAAUGCGUAGAUAUUAGGAGGAACACCAGUGGCGAAGG
rnacentral:rRNA from 1 species